UAACUGAUGUACAGGUACUGUACCAGUUA
rnacentral:piRNA from 1 species